rnacentral:lncRNA from 1 species
CGCCAUAAUAACGCUGGUUUUUUGUAGUGUAAAAAUAUCAGACUUACGUUUAACGUUCUCUGUAAAAGGAUAAAAUUGGUGUUGGACCUGUCGAUCCUCUCUUUCGAACUCGUCAAUUUCACCCCAACUCGUCGGUUACACCCCUAAAUCGGCAAUUUGAACCGUUACUCGCGUCCAAUCCGAGUCAUAAUGGUCGUAAUGGUUGCCAUUAUGGCCGGGUGCGAUCUCCG